UACGUAGGCGGAAGAUUAAGUCGGUGGUGAAAUCCUGCAGCUUAACUGUAGAACUGUCAUUGAUACUGGUUUUCUUGAAUUUAGUUGAGGUAGGCGGAAUGUGUAAUGUAGCGGUGAAAUGCUUAGAUAUUACACAGAACACCGAUUGCGAAGGCAGCUUACUAAACUAUGAUUGACGCUGAGGUACGAAAGCGUGGGGAGCGAACAGGAUUAGAUACCCUGGUAGUCC
rnacentral:rRNA from 1 species